AGAUAAACUUCGGGUGAUCGAGAUCAGCUAUUUUUCUGCAUCCAGCAGCCACAAUAGUCAUCGGUGUACUGCCACAGGAGGAGUUAUUUUACAGAGCAACCUGUUUUCUUCCUCGCAGGUUUAACGUCGAUUAUUUAAUUGUUUUACUAUCUUUUCUAAAUUUAAAAUCUAGAACUCCGCAUGUGUUAGUAAUAGUGUGGACCUUGUUAGAAAUUGUGUUAAUUUAAAUUUUUGAAAUUAAUAAAUGAAGAUUUGUAUGGUAUUUAAACAGUUUGUAAAUGAGGUAACAGGGUUGAGCUGGGCUCCCCUGAUUUUAGUUUCUGAAAAUUUCUGGGUUAAGUUGGCUCAAAAUAUAAUUAUAA